rnacentral:rRNA from 1 species
CAAAGAUUAAGCCAUGCAUGUCUCAGUACAAGCCAAAUUAAGGUGAAACCGCGAAAGGCUCAUUAAAUCAGUUAUGGUUCCUUAGAUCGUACCCACAUUUACUUGGAUAACUGUGGUAAUUCUAGAGCUAAUACAUGCAAACAGAGCUCCGACCGGAGACGGAAGGAGCGCUUUUAUUAGAUCAAAACCAAUCGGUGGCGGGUCUCCCGUCACCGUACACCUUGGUGACUCUGAAUAACUUAUUGCUGAUCGCACGGUCUCGCACCGGCGACGCAUCUUUCAAAUGUCUGCCUUAUCAACUGUCGAUGGUAGGUUCUGCGCCUACCAUGGUUGUAACGGGUAACGGGGAAUCAGGGUUCGAUUCCGGAGAGGGAGCCUGAGAAACGGCUACCACAUCCAAGGAAGGCAGCAGGCGCGCAAAUUACCCACUCCCGGCACGGGGAGGUAGUGACGAAAAAUAACGAUACGGGACUCAUCCGAGGCCCCGUAAUCGGAAUGAGUACACUCUAAACCCUUUAACGAGGAUCAAUUGGAGGGCAAGUCUGGUGCCAGCAGCCGCGGUAAUUCCAGCUCCAAUAGCGUAUAUUAAAGUUGUUGCGGUUAAAAAGCUCGUAGUCGAAUUUGUGUCCCGCGCCGCCGGUUCAUCGCUCGCGGUGUCAACUGGCGUGUCCGCGGGACGUCCUGCCGGUGGGCUUAGCCCCUCGUGGGCGGCCCAAUCUCAAUCCCACCGCGGUGCUCUUCAUUGAGUGUCGAGGUGGGCCGGCACGUUUACUUUGAACAAAUUAGAGUGCUUAAAGCAGGCUAAAACAUCGCCUGAAUACUGUGUGCAUGGAAUAAUGGAAUAGGACCUCGGUUCUAUUUUGUUGGUUUUCGGAACCCCGAGGUAAUGAUUAAUAGGAACGGAUGGGGGCAUUCGUAUUGCGACGUUAGAG